rnacentral:misc_RNA from 1 species
UCCGAGUUGACCCCAUCUCUAGACCGGUCAGAGGGAUGUCAAGACCUGGUAAGGUUCUUCGCGUUGCUUCGAAUUAAACCACAUACUCCACUGCUUGUGCGGGUCCCCGUCAAUUCCUUUGAGUUUCAGUCUUGCGACCGUACUCCCCAGGCGGAAUGCUUAAUGUGUUAACUUCGGCACCAAGGGUAUCGAAACCCCUAACACCUAGCAUUCAUCGUUUACGGCGUGGACUAC